AUUUUGUAAGCAAAUUUUAGUUUGUUUCUCACUCUCUCACUAUGCUUCUUCUUCCGUUCCUCUGCUUGGUCUACUUCUUUCACUGAUCUAUAUAAUGCUGAGAGCACGUGAUAUGGAAAAUCUUACCCGGAGAUAUAUUAUUUGGUUAUAAUGUCCUACAUCUCCCUUGACAUCACAACGAUUACUAAAUGAGAAGGAGGAGUGCUCAUAUUUUCCAAGGAGAUAUAGUGAUCAUGAAUGAUAAAACACAAAAAUCAUGCAAAAUACCCGGCUAUGCUGAUUAUGAGAUGGAGUUGCUCUUUCCUACAAUGCAGCUUGGGAAUUGAAUUCUUUUUUCUGUUUGAUGAGGAAAACUCUUCGAGGUCCAUAAUUUUCUGCUUGAUUUUCGUAGUACAUUUUUUUGCAAGUGAAGCAGUAAUUGGCAAUGUGUUCUGCAUAAUGGUUGGAGAGGGAAGGUUUAUUUGCAUAUAAUUUCCUCUGUCACUCCACUCUGUUAUUAAUUUGAAAUUUGGCGUAGCUAUUUUACAAGUAUGUGACUUCUUGUUCUGCGUUAUGGUGUUUUCUCCGCAGAUAAUUAGCGUAAAUGUAUUUUAUGGAGUUUUCCCUGACUUCCAUAUGAUCUGCUUUUGUAGGAGUUUGGAUAUCGUAAUCGUGUAUGAAAUUAAAAAUCUUCUUAUAAAUGGGUGCAUGAGUGUACGGUGUGUAUUAUUGAUGAUAGGUGAUAAUAGGUAAAUUAGACUAUAAUUAGGCCCUAAAGAACCACAUUUUUGUAUAGCUUUUACGGUAA